CCUACGGGAGGCAGCAGUGAGGAAUAUUGGUCAAUGGGCGCGAGCCUGAACCAGCCAAGUAGCGUGAAGGAUGACUGCUCUACGGUUGUUAAACUUUUUUUAUAAAGGAAUAAAGUGAGGCACGUGUUCCUUUUUGUAUGUACUUUAUGUACCAGGCUCGGCUAACGCUGUGCCAGCAGCCGCGGUAAUACGGAGGAUCCGAGCGUUAUCCGGUUUUAAUGGGUUUAAAGGGAGCGUAGAUGGGUUGUUAAGUCAGUUGUGAAAGUUUGCGGCUCAACCGUAAAAUUGCAAUUGAUACUGGCAGCCUUGAGUACAGGUGAGGUAGGCGGAAUUCGUGGUGUAGCGGUGAAAUGCUUAGAUAUCACGAGGAACACCGGUUGCGAAGGCAGCCUACUAAACUGCCACUGACAUUGAUGCUCGAAAGUGUGGGUAUCAAACAGGAUUAGAUACCCGAGUAGUC
rnacentral:rRNA from 1 species